rnacentral:lncRNA from 1 species
UUCAUUCAAAAGUCCAAAAGAAGAACCCACAAAAGUUGAAAACAAAGGAUGCAUAAUUCGCUCAAGUAGAAAGCAACAACCAUCACCAUCGUUGACAAAAUUGCACAGAAAGAGGACUUUGAAAGUGCUAGCUAGCCUCAGCUAUUAGCUGAUGAAAAUUCUUCCUUUCACACAUUAUAGCUCUGCCCAUUUUUCCCAGAAGUCUUUAGGUUUACUAUAGAGGAACUAAGAAUAGAUUGCAACAGACCUUAGCUCAGCGAUUGUGGAGAGGGUCUGAAGCAUUUGGAACUUUUCUUUUGUUUGAAAAGAACACAUCAAAUGAGAAGCUUAAACGUUGAUAUUGCUGCUUCUCUUUCCUUGUGGGUUGCUGGCUAUACGUGUUGUUAACCACCAACUUCUCUUCCUUCUCUCCGGAGACCACAAACAGCGAAACAAGAAUCAGAAAUAUUAGCUUCUGCAGCAUACCAACUUGCAUUUUCAUUUUCCUGGCUGUAAAUGAGAGAGAUUUUCAAAGUGGGGGAUAGAAAACGCAAAAAUUCUGGGAUAAUGGGACCAGCUGGAGAAAGAGCAGAGAAAGCUAAAUGGCUUUGAUCGGGCAAAUGGGAAGAGAAAUAGAAGGAAAAAGUGGAUGUUGCAUGUCAUCGAGUACACCCUGCAAACAAGGGACACAACUCACGAAGGAGUUUUUUGUUUUGUUUUCUUUUACAGCAUCUUCACGAGAAACUUUUCCUUGCCAUCUUUGCUUUUUUAUCAUGGCAUUUAGUCCCGGAAAAUAAGCCAAACACUGGGUCCAAUUUCUAAGGAUAUACAGACGCUGGCUUUUGUACUUUUUUUUCCAAUUUAUUUAUUUAUUUUUAUGGGUAAAUUUUGUCGGCUUUGGAAGAUAGUCAAUUUACUCUUUAUAGCCAUUUGGUGUAGAGCCAGAAAACGUACUGUUUGCACCUUAAAAAGAGCGAAAUCAGAAUUCAGAAAUGCCUGAGCUACUAUCUAAUCUUAUUCUUUCUUUUCAACUCUCA